CACGUGGAGAACCUGCCCCCUCCCCCGGGAUAGCCGCCCGAAAGGACGGGUAAUACCGGAUACCCCGGGGUGCCGCAUGGCACCCCGGCUAAAGCCCCGACGGGAGGGGAUGGCUCCGCGGCCCAUCAGGUAGACGGCGGGGUGACGGCCCACCGUGCCGACAACGGGUAGCCGGGUUGAUAGACCGACCGGCCAGAUUGGGACUGAGACACGGCCCAGACUCCUACAGGAGGCAGCAGUGGGGAAUCUUGCGCAAUGGGGGGAACCCUGACGCAGCGACGCCGCGUGCGGGACGGAGGCCUUCGGGUCGUAAACCGCUUUCAGCAGGGAAGAGUCAAGACUGUACCUGCAGAAGAAGCCCCGGCUAACUACGUGCCAGCAGCCGCGGUAAUACGUAGGGGGCGAGCGUUAUCCGGAUUCAUUGGGCGUAAAGCGCGCGUAGGCGGCCCGGCAGGCCGGGGGUCGAAGCGGGGGGCUCAACCCCCCGAAGCCCCCGGAACCUCCGCGGCUUGGGUCCGGUAGGGGAGGGUGGAACACCCGGUGUAGCGGUGGAAUGCGCAGAUAUCGGGUGGAACACCGGUGGCGAAGGCGGCCCUCUGGGCCGAGACCGACGCUGAGGCGCGAAAGCUGGGGGAGCGAACAGGAUUAGAUACCCUGGUAGUCCCAGCCGUAAACGAUGGACGCUAGGUGUGGGGGGACGAUCCCCCCGUGCCGCAGCCAACGCAUUAAGCGUCCCGCGUGGGGAGUACGGCAGCAAGGCUAAAACUCAAAGGAAUUGACGGGGGCCCCCACAAGCAGCGGAGCAUGUGGCUUAAUUCGAAGCAACGCGAACAACCUUACCAGGGCUUGACAUAUGGGUGAAGCGGGGGAGACCCCGUGCCCGAGAGGAGCCCAUACAGGUGGUGCAUGGCUGUUGUCAGCUCGUGUCGUGAGAUGUUGGGUUAAGUCCCGCAACGAGCGCAACCCCCGCUGCGUGUUGCCAUCGGGUGAUGCCGGGAACCCACGCGGGACCGCCGCCGUCAAGGCGGAGGAGGGCGGGGACGACGUCAAGUCAUCAUGCCCCUUAUGCCCUGGGCUGCACACGUGCUACAAUGGCCGGUACAGAGGGAUGCCACCCCGCGAGGGCGAGCGGAUCCUCGGAAA
rnacentral:rRNA from 1 species